UGGGGAAUAUUGGACAAUGGGGGCAACCCUGAUCCAGCAAUGCCGCGUGAGUGAUGAAGGCCUUAGGGUUGUAAAGCUCUUUUGGCGGGGACGAUAAUGACGGUACCCGCAGAAUAAGUCCCGGCUAACUUCGUGCCAGCAGCCGCGGUAAUACGAAGGGGACUAGCGUUGUUCGGAAUCACUGGGCGUAAAGCGCACGUAGGCGGAUAUGUCAGUCAGGGGUGAAAUCCCGGGGCUCAACCUCGGAACUGCCCUUGAUACAGCAUGUCUUGAGUCCGAUAGAGGUGGGUGGAAUUCCUAGUGUAGAGGUGAAAUUCGUAGAUAUUAGGAAGAACACCGGUGGCGAAGGCGGCCCACUGGAUCGGUACUGACGCUGAGGUGCGAAAGCGUGGGGAGCAAACA
rnacentral:rRNA from 1 species